rnacentral:lncRNA from 1 species
UGUCGCGGGUCCUCAAGGGGAUGAAGACCGGCUCGGAGUUCAUGAUGGGCCAGAGGCUCCCCUGGACGAACUCGUGGGCGCGUACCCCAACUACAAUGAGGAGGAGGAGGAGCGUCGCUACUACCGACGCAAGCGUCUCGGAGUGGUCAAGAACGUGCUGGCGGCCAGCACGGGUGGCACGCUCACUUACGGCGUCUACCUGGGCCUCCUGCAGAUGCAACUGAUCCUGCACUAUGAUGAGACCUACAGGGAGGUGAAGUAUGGCAACAUGGGCCUGCCGGACAUCGAUAGCAAGAUGCUGAUGGGUAUCAACGUGACGCCCAUCGCUGCCCUGCUCUACACACCUGUGCUCAUCAGGUGCCAAGCUGCUGUUCCCUUCCCCCACCCCGACUUUGUGGGCUGCCCUCGUGUUUUGAAGGGAGGGGACCAACUGCUGAGAGGCCUUGCUUGUUUGGGAGUGUGAGAAGGAAAAGGGGAAAUCCCAAUUAUAGAGGAACCACCAAGAGUUUCCCCCCCACCCCACAACACACACGCCCAUCUGCACAUUUGGUUUCGUGGGGGUUCUGGUUUGGUGGCAUCCUACCAGACAGUGACUUCCUGGACUACAGCCUUGAAGUCCCCAGCACAGGCCAGGUUCUCAGCCCAGUGAGCCCUGACUGUGUUGAAAGGCAGUGCUCACAGAAAGGGUCUUAGCUGCAGAGACUCAGGUUGCUCAG